ensembl:lncRNA
GCCAGAACUCGGGAGUCUUUGUUCUCAGCUCCUCUUAACACAUGGCUAUAGGGAACAGGAGGGGACAUUGCCAGAACCUCUGCCUUGAGUCCUGGCCUCCUAUGAGCCACUACAGCACAAGGGGAAAGAAUAAAGACAGGAAACUAGACUUAGAAUGAAGCUGAGUCUUGGGGCAUGAUCAGUGCUGCCGAUGGCAGCAAAGACAAAGGCCCCCAAGCUUGUCCAGCAUUUAUUGAAUACAAUCGUGAGAAGGAAUAGGGAGCUGGGGAGCUCUGAAGUUAUCUAGUGAAUUACUGCCAAACACCUGGCAUGAUGGCACCAGGCAGGGCUGUCAGGGAGUCGGCACUGCUUAUCUUGCUUGGAUAGAACAAACUGGUAUUGGGACCGGGUGCAAUUAGCAAGCAACCCAUCCAGUCAGUGAGAAGCCAUAAUUCAGGGGAAAGGGUUUUAACUGGGGUCACGCUGACCUCAGCUGCACAUAACUCAGCGGAGCCCUGCCACUUCACAGAGCAGGGCCUAGGUCUCCAUUGGGGAGCAGCUAUACUCACCAGUCCACCAGCUGACACACCCAUUUGAAUCACAUAUGGCUUCGGUCUGACUCCUGAUAUAAAACAAUAUAGCUGAAUCAUGGCAGGCCAGAAGCAGGUGCCACUCAUAGCCCGCUAGUACUGGGCAGGGACAUCUGCUACACAUGGUGAGAGGGACUCCCCUGUUUGAGAGUUGUUCCAUCUUGACUGGCUGCUCUGGGCUCUGAGACCCUGACCUGGUCACGGCCCUUCCAUCGCCUAUGUGCAAUUACUGGAUAAGCACAUCUGUGGUCUCUGUGCUGUCCAGGUGCUCAUCUUGUGAGAGAAUAAUAAAAUAUGUAUGUACUUAUACAGAGGUGUGUGAGUGUCCAGGUGUUAGUGUAUUUUUACAUAUCAAGUGAGUUUUCUAUAAUAUAGCCCCCUCCCCACUCUGCUCCUUUUGUGCCUAACUGGAAGUGGAGGGAGGAGGGAAAUGGGGCCCUGGCACUGAGGACAGCCAGCCCCAUUGGCUCUUUUUCUUAGCUUCUCUCUCUAGCAGGAGUUUAACUCUAUUUGCCAGAAACCUCACUGAGGCCCUUUAGCUUCCCUACAAUAAUAAAUAUGGGCCACUAUACUAGUAAGUAUGGCAGUUAGUGGUAGUUUAGAUGCCAGCGGCUUCCGCUGCCCUGAGAAAUACCAAGGUGACACUAAAAUUCUGAAUGGAAGGACUCAGGCCCAGGCCCUCUGGUGGGAGUGUUCGCGGGGUCAGGAGCGGCCCUGAGGUAGGUCGGCCCCACAUGCCUGUAUCCCAGACACCCUCCCGAGGAACUCGGGGUCCAGAAGCGGGAGCCCCUUCAGGGAACCGCGCCUCCCACCCCCGUGCUCAGGGCUGGACCUGAGAUGCAUCCCGCGUAAAAUCCCCGGCCUGCGACCCGGGGGCUGCUCCUCGAGCGCUGGGCCCCGGAUUUCUCUCAGAUGCAGAUGUUCCCCAAGUGGCUACUGACACCCUUUUCAGCUUCGCAAACUUCCGUUAAAGGUGUUUGCUUAGGAGGACGUCUCUGCCUCUCUGGGAUCCCCAAAACUAUCUCUGCAGGACAUAAAAAUGUGGUGAGGAAACCAGGAGUGCCUUGCUGGUGACACCGCCUCCUUCUUCCUCAAGAAAAAAGGGAAAGAAGGAAGCGAGGGAAGAAAGAAGGGAGGAAGAGAGGGAGAGGGAGACGAGGAAGAAACAGACCAACCUCCGAGCGAGGCGCCCCGGUACUGGACCCUACGGUCCCUUUCUUCAGGACCUGGCCCUGGCCUCGCACGGAUUUGCCCAGGUAAGGCCGGGUGGGAGGCCAGGCCUGAGGCCCGCCAGGAGGGGGCGCUGUGCACAGGGAGUCCCAGGGCCAGCGCUUCGGGUCACCCGGGGGCGCUGCCCCUCGGGCCCGGGAGCCGGUGCUCCUCAGCCCGGGCCGAAGCAGCAGGGUCUGCAGGGGACUGUUAGGUAUUUCAGAGCCCCCGCAGAGCAAGCCCCCUCCUCUCCUUUCCUUUUGCCCCACUCCGGCCACAAGGAACAGGGAACUUACGCAUAGCUAAGGCCUGACCUCCCUUUGUUAGUGACUUUCUGCCUAGCUAAGGUCUUUCUGCCCCACCAGUUUCUGAGUCAGAUAUUCCAGUGAGACAGGGGCUUCCCGAAAGCAGUGACUCCAUCCCCCUGCCGGAAACCUACUGUUACAUACCCCAGCCCCAAUCCCCCACCCCCACCAGUGGACUAGUGCUCCCCCUCCUGCAAGAUCCCUAUAUAAGCUUCCAGCUCAGCCCAUGCAGUUGCUGGUCUCCAUUCUGUGAGUCAGCCCCAGCAGGCUGCAAACUGCCGCCCCAAUAAAGCUUGCUUGAACGUCCGUGUGUGCCCCCCUUCUUCGGCGACCUUUCAGGCACCCCGACUCCCGGCAGGGAGGACAGCCGCGCACACCUCCGCAGGCGGCCGGGCCACCACCUCCUCCGCGGCCCCACACAACUCCAGGCCCCUUCGGUACAAACAGCGACCCUCGGGCCCCUCCGCCACUCACCCGCGAAGCCCAGGCCCAGUUGCUGACCAGCCCUGCUCGCAAGCGCUCGCUGCUCCCAACGCCGCCAGGGGCACUGGGCCCUACUCGGUCUUCAAACCGCACCUGGCGGGCUCCGGACUGAGCCCAGGCCAGGGAGCCGCUGCGGCCGGGCCGGUCCCUGGUGAGGCCCCUCUGCCUCCCGCUCGGGUUCGCCUGCUCGCCCCCCGGCCUCCCCGCUGCCGUGCGCGGCGGCCCAGCGCGCUCCUCUCUUCCUGCACCACCGCCCGCCCGAGGACCCGCCACGCUGCUGGGCCGCGGCCGACGACCCCUCCACGGCCCGGGCAGCGUGGGAAGGAAACUCCCCUCCGGACCUCUCCCGCAGGCAAGUGGGGAGAUCGCCUGCGCGCCCAGUUCCGGCCCCUAAAGCAACGGGUCCUCAACACGGCGGUGACCCGGCGGUGACCCGGCACACAGCGCGCGGACAGCGCGGAGCCCUCACGGCCAGGCCGGCCGCUCCCCA